rnacentral:rRNA from 1 species
CCCUUAGAUGUUCUGGGCUGCACGCGUGCUACACUGAUAUUGCCAAUAUGUCAUUCUUAUCCGAAAUGGAUUGGGUAAUCAAGUAAUGAAAUUUCAUGCUUGGAUUCGGUAAUUGCAAUUUUAUCGUGAACGAGGAAUUCCUAGUAAGCACUAGUCAUCAGCUAAUGUUGAUUAUGUCCCUGCCCUUUGUACACACCGCCCGUCGCUACUACUGAUUGGGUGUUCAAGUGAGAUGCUUAGACCCUUGUUGCAUGGUUCAUUAUUGUGCUCCGAAAGGAAAAAGUUUCAAGCUUGAGUGUCUAGAGGAAGUAAAAGUCGUAACA